CAGUAUUUCAAGGUGCAUGCUCCUGUUACUAUCAAGCCAUAACGUCCCAUAUGACCCAGUACACUGAAUUUGUCCCCUGGUAGAUGACUCCUGGCAUGAUUCAGGAAGAAAAACUUGAGAGAUUUGGAAGUGCAUCAGGGUAAUCUAACUGCAGGGCUGGGGUUUGUCCUUUUGACAUGUCACAGGCAUCACUUGUCCUGAAGAAGCACCAGUCUGGAGGUGAGGGAAGCCACCAAAGGUUUCCCAACGUUUGCAUCGUUUAAUUCAGCCAAAUCUGGUCCUGCCACGAGUUAUGUGAUGAGCCUCUGAAGAGCUGAUGUUUUUUCACAGCUCUUCCUGGUGACUGCAAUGGCUAUCUUGAAACUGAACUCUCAGUGUUCACUAAUUGUGCUGGGAGUAAGGUUUUAGAAAUGCCAAGUAUCACAAGGCUGGCAGUUUUUGCAAACCUGGCUUUGAAAGACAAUUUUAAUAGCUCUUAGGUGACAUCUUAUUUUGCAGUUUUGGGUUGUUCCCAUUUAAAAGACUUCAUACAAUCAUCCAUGGCCUCCACGUAAGGACGCAGGGAAGGUCUUUUCCUCUAGACAUGCAGCAUUUGUUCAUCUGUUGAACCUCCCUUCCUGUUUUGACUGUGCAGAUGCUUAUUUCAAAAAUAAGCACCAGAGCAGCAUGACCAUUUAAUCAUUUACUUAAACAGACAUGAAGAACAACCCUACUGAUGAGUAAGAAGAAAAAUUACACCUUCUGGACUACAAGCAAGAAACUACAGAACUAAACUCUGUACCAAGUUGCUAUCACAGCCCAGGCUUAGGUAAGUGAAGUUGUCUUCAAGUAUUUAAUCCUUGAUUUGGUUUCCUUUAAGGGGUGUCCUUGCUCUCAGACAUCUGCUGACUGUUCCUACAAAAUGACAUCAGUUAUUCUAGUGAAAUACUUGGCUGCACAUAUCUUGUGAGGAUGGGGUUAAUUUCUAAUACAUGGACUAUAUAUAGGUGAUAUGCCUACAUCUAAGCAUUCACUGAUGUUAAGCAUUUCACGAAACUGUUAACAUGACUGCACAAGACCAUCACCAAGUUCUUGUUUUCUUUCGAGUGUUGCGCUGCGCUGAAGAUGUUAUUGAUGUAUAAAUCACUUAAAGCCAUGCAUGAGUUGUACAGAAAACAGCCUUAAGAAAGCUUAAAAUCUGGGCUUUUCCAAAGUGAAUGUAAAACACUCGUCUUCCUCAAGAGGCUGGGUUUACCAGAUGCCCCUUUGAAGCUGCCAGUCAGCUCUUUGCCUAACUCAGGUUCAGUUAUCAAGUACAAUUCUUUCUCUCAUAAUGAAACUACUUGCUUAUCUCCAGUACUACUUAUUACAACCUAUUGAUGUUCAGUGUUACCCCUUUUGCAGAUAGUUGUUUUCAAGCAUUCCUGUGCUUAAAUGAGAUACAUCAAUAUGUGAGGACCUUGUAUAGCCCAUGUGUUUUAUAACACGCACGCAAGAAUAAAAAUUGUUUAUUAAAAUAGUUACAAGGGCAUAGAGCUCACUUUUCAUUAUAAAUAGUAGUUAUCUUACAGAUAAAACAUUGAGUAUGUUUGUGUAGGAGUGGAUUUUCUUUUUCACUUUUUAACACAAACAAGGUAUUUUCUCCUCCCAUAUUUGAACAUUCACUUUUUACUCAUCCACAUGAUCUUGAAAAUAUU